AGUGCUGUGAUAGGGAAAAAUAAGUAUAAUCAAAUUUUAGAUUUAAUUGUGGGGUAAAAUAGGAAAUAGCAACUUUAGCCUAUUCCUGAGAACUCAAGAAUAGCUUAAUACCAGGGGGCCUAAGAACCUCU